rnacentral:rRNA from 1 species
GACGUAGGGCGCGAGCGUUGUCCGGAUUUAUUGGGCGUAAAGAGCGUGUAGGCGGCCUGGAAGGUCCGUUGUGAAAACUCGAGGCUCAACCUCGAGACGCCGAUGGAAACCACCUGGCUAGAGUCCGGAAGAGGAGAGUGGAAUUCCUGGUGUAGCGGUGAAAUGCGCAGAUAUCAGGAAGAACACCCGUGGCUAAGGCGGCUCUCUGGGACGGUACUGACGCUGAGACGCGAAAGCGUGGGGAGCGAACAGG